rnacentral:rRNA from 1 species
AUUGAACGCUGGCGGCAGGCCUAACACAUGCAAGUCGAACGGUAACAGGAAGAAGCUUGCUUCUUUGCUGACGAGUGGCGGACGGGUGAGUAAUGUCUGGGAAACUGCCUGAUGGAGGGGGAUAACUACUGGAAACGGUAGCUAAUACCGCAUAACGUCGCAAGACCAAAGAGGGGGACCUUCGGGCCUCUUGCCAUCGGAUGUGCCCUGAUGGGAUUAGCUAGUAGGUGGGGUAACGGCUCACCUAGGCGACGAUCCCUAGCUGGUCUGAGAGGAUGACCAGCCACACUGGAACUGAGACACGGUCCAGACUCCUACGGGAGGCAGCAGUGGGGAAUAUUGCACAAUGGGCGCAAGCCUGAUGCAGCCAUGCCGCGUGUAUGAAGAAGGCCUUCGGGUUGUAAAGUACUUUCAGCGGGGAGGAAGGGAGUAAAGUUAAUACCUUUGCUCAUUGACGUUACCCGCAGAAGAAGCACCGGCUAACUCCGUG